rnacentral:rRNA from 1 species
GACGAACGCUGGCGGCGUGCCUAAUACAUGCAAGUCGAACGCACAGUUUAUACCGUAGCUUGCUACACCAUAGACUGUGAGUUGCGAACGGGUGAGUAACGCGUAGGUAACCUGCCUGGUAGCGGGGGAUAACUAUUGGAAACGAUAGCUAAUACCGCAUAAUAUUGAUUAUUGCAUGAUAAUUGAUUGAAAGAUGCUAUUGCAUCACUACCAGAUGGACCUGCGUUGUAUUAGCUAGUAGGUGAGGUAACGGCUCACCUAGGCGACGAUACAUAGCCGACCUGAGAGGGUGAUCGGCCACACUGGGACUGAGACACGGCCCAGACUCCUACGGGAGGCAGCAGUAGGGAAUCUUCGGCAAGGGACGAAAGUCUGACCGAGCAACGCCGCGGGAGUGAAGAAGGGUGUCGGAUCGUAAAGCUCUGUUGUAAGAGAAGAACGGGUGUGAGAGUGGAAAGUUCACACUGUGACGGUAGCUUACCAGAAAGGGACGGCUAACUACGUG